rnacentral:rRNA from 1 species
AACGCGAAGAACCUUACCAGGGCUUGACAUGGGAGGGACGCGUCCAGAGAUGGGCGUUUCCGCGAGGACCCUCCGCACAGGUGCUGCAUGGCUGUCGUCAGCUCGUGUCGUGAGAUGUUGGGUUAAGUCCCGCAACGAGCGCAACCCUCGCCUUCAGUUGCCAUCAGGUUUGGCUGGGCACUCUGAAGGAACUGCCGGUGACAAGCCGGAGGAAGGUGGGGAUGACGUCAAGUCCUCAUGGCCCUUAUGUCCUGGGCUACACACGUGCUACAAUGGCGGUGACAGUGGGAAGCCAGGUCGCGAGGCCGAGCCGAUCUCAAAAAGCCGUCUCAGUUCGGAUUGCACUCUGCAACUCGGGUGCAUGAAGGUGGAAUCGCUAGUAAUCGUGGAUCAGCAUGCCACGGUGAAUACGUUCCCGGGCCUUGUACACACCGCUCGUC